rnacentral:rRNA from 1 species
CUGAUAAUUAUUAAAGGGCUGCAGUAUUUUGACUGUACAAAGGUAGCAUAAUCAUUAGUCUCUUAAUUGGUGACUUGUAUGAAAGAUUGGAUGAAAUAUAUACUGUCUCUAGUUUAUAUAAAGAAUUUAAUUUUUUAGUUAAAAAGUUAAAAUAAAUUUAAAAGACGAGAAGACCCUAUAGAGUUUUAUAUUUAAAUUUAUUGAAAUUAUAUUUAAUUUAAUAAUUAAAAUAAUUUAAAAUAUUUUAUUGGGGUGAUAAAAAAAUUAAAUUAACUUUUUUUAUUUUAAAUUUCAUUAAUAAGUGAAUAAAUGAUCCAAAAAUUUUGAUUAUAAGAAAAAAUUACCUUAGGGAUAACAGCGUAAUUUUUUUUAUUAGUUCAUAUAAUAAGAAGAGUUUGCGACCUCGAUGUUGGAUUAAGAUAAAAUUUAUAUGCAAAAGUAUAAAAUUUUGAUCUGUUCGAUC